GAUUAGCACAGAUAGUAUAUUUCUAAUUUUUUUUGAAAAUAAAUUAAAAUAAAAAAGCCGGACUAAAU
rnacentral:sRNA from 2 species